rnacentral:rRNA from 1 species
AGCGAACGCUGGCGGCAGGCUUAACACAUGCAAGUCGAGCGGCCACUUUCUGGUAUCUUCGGCUUACGGGUGGGUAACGCGUGGGGACGUACCCUCUGGUUCGGAAUAACUCAUUCGAACUUGAGCUAAUACCGGAUACUCCCUUUUUAGGGAAGGCUUGCUGCGGGAGGAUCGACCCGCGUCUGAUUACCUAGUUGGUGAGUUAACGCCUCACCAAGGCGACGAUUAGUAGCUGUUCUGAGAGGCUGAGCCGACACACUGGGACUGGGCAACGGUCGAGACUCUUACGGGAGGCAGGAGUGGCGAAUACUGCCCAACGGGCGCAAGGAUGAUCCAGCUAUGCCGCGUGAGUGAUGAAGGUGUUAGGGUUGUAAAGCUCUUUUAUCCGGGACGAUAAUGACGGUACCGGAGGAAUAAGCCCCGGCUAACUUCGUG